UGCAGUCGAACGGUAGCACGGUCCAGUUUACUGGAUGGGUAGCUAAUACCGCAUACGCCCCAAGGGGGAAAGCGGGGGACCUUCGGGCCUCGCGCUAUCAGAUGAGCCUGCGUAGGAUUAGCUAGUUGGUGAGGUAAAGGCUCACCAAGGCGACGAUCCUUAGCUGGUCUGAGAGGAUGAUCAGCCACACUGGGACUGAGACACGGCCCAGACUCCUACGGGAGGCAGCAGUGGGGAAUAUUGCGCAAUGGGGGCAACCCUGACGCAGCCAUGCCGCGUGUGUGAAGAAGGCCUUCGGGUUGUAAAGCACUUUCAAUGGGGAAGAAAAGCGUAGCGUUAAUAGCGUUGCGCCGUGACGUUACCCAUAGAAGAAGCACCGGCUAACUCCGUGCCUGCAGCCGCGGUAAUACGGAGGGUGCGAGCGUUAAUCGGAAUUACUGGGCGUAAAGCGCGCGUAGGCGGUUUGUUAAGUCAGCUGUGAAAGCCCCGGGCUCAACCUGGGAACUGCAGUUGAUACUGGCCGACUAGAGUACGAGAGAGGGAGGUAGAAUUCCAUGUGUAGCGGUGAAAUGCGUAGAUAUAUGGAGGAAUACCGGUGGCGAAGGCGGCCUCCUGGCUCGAUACUGACGCUGAGGUGCGAAAGCGUGGGGAUCAAACAGGAUUAGAUACCCUGGUAGUCCACGCCGUAAACGAUGUCUACUAGCCGUUGGGAGACUUGAUUUCUUAGUGGCGCAGCUAACGCAAUAAGUAGACCGCCUGGGGAGUACGGCCGCAAGGUUAAAACUCAAAUGAAUUGACGGGGGCCCGCACAAGCGGUGGAGCAUGUGGUUUAAUUCGAUGCAACGCGAAGAACCUUACCAGGUCUUGACAUCCAGAGAACUUUCCAGAGAUGGAUUGGUGCCUUCGGGAGCUCUG
rnacentral:rRNA from 1 species